UCAAACUUGGUCAUUUAGAGGAAGUAAAAGUCGUAACAAGGUCUCCGUUGGUGAACCAGCGGAGGGAUCAUUACGAAGAGUGUAAACUCCAAACCCACUGUGAAUUUACUAUAGUUGCUUCGGCGGGCAGUCCCUGGGAGGGGCCCAGCCUAUUUUUUAGGUGCCCGCCGACAGCAUAUUCAAAUUCUUUUUUUUAGGCUGUCUGAGCAAUUAAAAAAAAUAAGUCAAAACUUUCAACAAUGGAUCUCUUGGUUCUGGCAUCGAUGAAGAACGCAGC
rnacentral:misc_RNA from 1 species